GCCGUUCCAACAUGCUGUCAAAAUUAAAUCAAUAUGGCUGCUGGAAGUAAAACAUAAAUGUUAUUCUAUAGGUUCUUAAUGUGUUUUAGAUGGUUUUAGAUCAUUUUUGUUGUGUUUCUUUGUAAUUUUGUGUUGUACAAAGAUUAAUUUAACAUUUUCUCUGGAAGUAUUAAUUUAGAAAGAUAAUAUGCUUCAUUGGUGUUGUGUUUUGAAGUGUGAAAUGCAAAGUAAUCCUGAUAAAGUCAAGAUAAAGUUCACUUUUAAACUGAACUAAAUACGGUAUCAGCUGAGAGACAACAAUGGUUAAAUGCAAUACAAUGUAAGGUUUUACUAGCGAAAUGAAAAUUCUCUUGUCCUGUCUGCUGUAAUCAUUUUAUAUCUGGAAAACCAGCCGACUUAAUCGAUAAUAACAAUCCAGAUUGGGUUCCUUCAAUAAAUAUGGGCUAUAAACACAAUGAAAUAAGUUCCCCAAAAUCUAAAAUGAAGUGGUAUCAGAGGAGAAUUAAAAGAAAAAAUAUUCAUAUUGAAAUUAUUUAUAAGGCACUGGACUGUCUUAAAUUCUACAAAUACUAGAAUCAGCUGAGAGAAGUGGUGUACAAAAAAACUAGGAAAGGAAUGGAAUAUGUGGCUACGAAAGGCAAAAGAAAUGAAUACAAAGCAAAUGUGACACAUUUUUUUAAAAAUAUGUAGGAAUAUCAGUAAACUACAUUAAAAAUGUAUGAAAA